CGUCAGCUCGUGUCGUGAGAUGUUGGGUUAAGUCCCGCAACGAGCGCAACCCUCGUCCUAUGUUGCCAGCGGGUCAUGCCGGGACUCAUGGGAGACUGCCGGGGUCAACUCGGAGGAAGGUGGGGAUGACGUCAAAUCAUCAUGCCCCUUAUGUCUUGGGCUUCACGCAUGCUACAAUGGCCGGUACAAAGGGCUGCGAUACCGGCGAGGUGGAGCGAAUCCCAGAAAGCCGGUCUCAGUUCGGAUUGGGUCUGCAACUCGACCCCAUGAAGUCGGGGUCGCUAGUAAUCGCAGAUCAGCAACGCUGCGGUGAAUACGUUCCCGGGCCUU
rnacentral:rRNA from 1 species